GAAACUCAGCUUUUCACCUAAGGAAGGAACUGAUGUCACCACUGGAAAAUCUGUGACAGCUCUGGGCAGAUCUGUGAGCCUGUGGCCACAGCAGGGCACUCUGCAGCAAUCAGAGCCUUGCCAAUAAAAACAGGAGCUGAGCUGGUUUUGGAGUGGCUGUGACCUGGAUUUACUCCCCAAAAGAUUGCACAGGUGUGCCCAGCCACCGUCCCAGCCCUGCAGCAGGACUGCCCAGGAUCCCCUGUGCGUGCAGGACACAUCCCAGCGACGUCUCCAGAUCCCCAGGAGGGAUUCAUGUCCCUGUGCUGGCUGCUGUGCAGCAGGUUCUCACUCCUCCCCACGCUGACUAGCACAUCAAAGUCAAACGUGUUUGCAUGCAAGUGUCUGCAGUCACCCACAAAAUGUGUUCUCCCUGCCUGGUCCCUCCAAUUACACGACUGACUCUGGCUGGACUCAGCGGAGAUUGAUAGUGCUGGGAUCAGACUGCGGUCAGGGAAUUGGAAAUCUGAUUUGAGGUACAGGAGGAGCACAGAGGAGCCACCGAAACGUGCCCCAGCCUGAGCAGCCUGCCUGGAGCACAGCCACUGGUGCAGAUACC